rnacentral:tRNA from 1 species
UGUUUGGUGGCUGAGUAAAAAGCGAUAGACUGUAGAUCUAUUUACGAAAUUAAAUUUUCCCAACAA